GACGAACGUUGGCGGCGUGCUUAAUACAUGCAAGUCAACUGAAGCAGUGGUAGCAAUAUCGCUGUGGAGGUGGCGCACGGGUGAGUAACACGUAGGUAAUCUGCCUUCAGGUCUGGCAUAACUCCGGGAAACCGGGGCUAAUAACAGAUGAUGCAGCGGCUCGACAUCGAGACAGUUGUUAAAGCUAUGGCGCCUGAAGAUGAGCCUGCGUCUGAUUAGCUAGUUGGCGGGGUAACGGCCCACCAAGGCAACGAUCAGUAGCUGGUCUGAGAGGAUGAUCAGCCACACUGGAACUGAGACACGGUCCAGACUCCUACGGGAGGCAGCAGUAAGGAAUAUUGCUCAAUGGGAGAAAUCCUGAAGCAGCAACGCCGCGUGAGGGACGAAGGGCUUUUGCUUGUAAACCUCUGUAGUGAGAGAAAAAAAUCCCAAUCUUUGGGACAUGAUGGUAUCUCAAAAGUAAGCCCCGGCUAACUACGUG
rnacentral:rRNA from 1 species